rnacentral:rRNA from 1 species
UACGGAGGGGGCUAGCGUUGUUCGGAAUUUCUGGGCGUAAAGCGUGCGCAGGCGGUUUUGUAAGCCAGAUGUGAAAUCCCCGGGCUCAACCUGGGAAUGGCAUUUGGGACUGCAAGGCUGGAGUGCGGCAGAGGAGACUGGAAUUCCUGGUGUAGCAGUGAAAUGCGUAGAUAUCAGGAGGAAUACCGAUGGCGAAGGCAGGUCUCUGGGCUGACACUGACGCUCAUGCACGAAAGCGUGGGGAGCAAACAGG